rnacentral:rRNA from 1 species
GGCGAACGCUGGCGGCAGGCCUAACACAUGCAAGUCGAACGGACCCUUCGGGGUUAGUGGCGGACGGGUGAGUAACACGUGGGAACGUGCCUUUAGGUUCGGAAUAGCUCCUGGAAACGGGUGGUAAUGCCGAAUGUGCCCUUCGGGGGAAAGAUUUAUCGCCUUUAGAGCGGCCCGCGUGUGAUUAGCUAGUUGGUGAGGUAAUGGCUCACCAAGGCGACGAUCAGUAGCUGGUCUGAGAGGAUGACCAGCCACAUUGGGACUGAGACACGGCCCAAACUCCUACGAGAGGCAGCAGUGGGGAAUGUUGCGCAAUGGGCGAAAGCCUGACGCAGCCAUGCCGCGUGGAUGAUGAAGGUCUUAGGAUUGUAAAAUCCUUUCACCGGUGAAGAUAAUGACUGUAGCCGGAGAAGAAGCCCCGGCUAACUUCGUGCCAGCCGCCGCCGUAAGAC